rnacentral:rRNA from 1 species
UUUUAUUUGAGAGUUUGAUCCUGGCUCAGGAUGAACGCUGGCGGCGUGCCUAACACAUGCAAGUUUAGCGAUUUACUUCGGUAAAGAGCGGCGGACGGGUGAGUAACGCGUGGGUAACCUACCCUGUACACACGGAUAACAUACCGAAAGGUAUGCUAAUACGGGAUAAUAUAUUUGAGAGGCAUCUCUUAAAUAUCAAAGGUGAGCCAGUACAGGAUGGACCCGCGUCUGAUUAGCUAGUUGGUAAGGUAACGGCUUACCAAGGCGACGAUCAGUAGCCGACCUGAGAGGGUGAUCGGCCACAUUGGAACUGAGACACGGUCCAAACUCCUACGGGAGGCAGCAGUGGGGAAUAUUGCACAAUGGGCGAAAGCCUGAUGCAGCAACGCCGCGUGAGUGAUGAAGGCCUUCGGGUCGUAAAACUCUGUCCUCAAGGAAGAUAAUGACGGUACUUGAGGAGGAAGCCCCGGCUAACUACGUGCCAGCAGCCGCGGUAAUACGUAGGGGGCUAGCGUUAUCCGGAUUUACUGGGCGUAA